AUGGUACCCAGAGUACAAACCUUCGCAUGGAGGCUACUUAGGAGGGCAAUUCCCACGGGUAUGAGGGCAGGUAGAUUUUCUUCUCAUAUUAUAAAACAGUAUGCUAGAUGUGAUCAAGAAGAAGAUGAUAUACACCUAUUCUUCACUUGUCCUUUUGCUAAAGCUGCUUGGUUCUCGGAACCUUGGAAUAUUAGGUCUGAAUUCUUCGUGCAAAACUUUGGUUCAAUACCUGCUAUUAUACAGGCCUUGUUAACUUCCAAUCACCCUCAUGCCUCUCUCAAUAACAUUAUAACCUUUCUUUGGUGUAUUUGGAAGUUCAGGAAUGAUAACCUUUUUGGCAGAAAAUCAAAUUCUCCUAUGCAGGUAUACCCAGCUAUGCAAGCAAUAAUAAAAAGCCAAGAAUUAGUAUCUUCUGCAAAUAUUGCAGGUUCACAAGCAGAAAUAAUACAGAAAAAGAUGGCAAGUUAUGCACACAAGCCAAAGCAAGGAUGUUCAUUAGAAACAGAUGCUUGGAUUACAGGUUGCAAGGUUUAUGUAGAUGCAGCAUGGAAGAAGAACACUACUGGCUCCAAGAACGACUCAAACAAAGCAGGAAUAGGAAUUGUCAUUCAGGCCAAUGAGAAUGAGCAAGGAACAGGUAUCUUAAUCUCUGCAGCUUGCGGAAGUGUUGAAUCUCCACUACAGGCAGAGGCUACAGCUCUACAGGUUGCCGCACAAAUUGCUUACCAUAUCACUAGCAGCGGAGUUACUUUCUUAGUGGACAAUCUGACACUAGCUCAGGCAGCGGCGUCAAGGAAUCUUCUUCAAGUCCCUGGGCACUGGCAAAUUAGAAGCCACCUAGCAAACUUUUUUGGUGCAACAGCGAACAUUCAAGCUCAGAUUUUUCAUAUUCCUAGGAAACUUAAUGUAAAAGCUCACAAUUGUGCAGCUUUUUCCUACAAAGAGGAUCAUCCCCUGAGCAAUAAAUUUGUUUGUUGUAAAGUAGAACAUGUAGGAGGUCACUGUCCUACGCUUGCAAAGCUAGGUAACUUAUGUAUUAAGGACUGCCAAAUCCUUGCUGGCGCCACCACUUGUCCAAAAAAAAAAAGAUCAGGCUUGAUCCAAUUCCAACGUAGCGCAUGCGACCCGGCAGAGAAUGUGGCCGGUUGA
rnacentral:rRNA from 1 species